rnacentral:rRNA from 1 species
UACGGAGGGCGCGAGCGUUACCCGGAUUUACUGGGCGUAAAGGGCGUUUAGGCGGUCUGGGGCGUCCCAUGUGAAAGGCCACGGCUCAACCGUGGAGGAGCGUGGGAUACGCUCAGGCUAGACGGUGGGAGAGGGUGGUGGAAUUCCCGGAGUAGCGGUGAAAUGCGCAGAUACCGGGAGGAACGCCGAUGGCGAAGGAAGGCACCGGGCCCACAUUUGACGGUGAGGCGCGAAAGCGUGGGGAGCAAACCGG